UGUAAAAUAAGCUAAAUAUCAAGCUUUUGGGUUCAUACCCCAAAUAUGAAUGGACUAUUCUUUUACAA
rnacentral:tRNA from 1 species